CAAGUUAACAACAUUUGGAGAAUAUAUACUGAGAUAAAUUGGCACACUAGAAAUCUGUUUGCUGCGGCCAGUUUCUCGAUCAGUCUCAUCAGCAAUCUCCUUCCUCACAGCAGCAAAAUCAGUAAACCUCUUUCUUGGUAGGUGUCCAAAUUCUGCAUAUUCUCUACCUUCUUCUAUCCGAUGAAGCUGUAGGACAAGGGGGCGGCGGGUGACAAUUCCUGAUCCACGAGGCAAAAAGUCUUUUCCAACAAUGCUCUCAAGCACCGAAGAUUUCCCAGAACUCUGUCCACCGACAACAGCGAUAGUAGGCAAAGCAUCCCAUAGAGUAGGUAACGAACUUUCCUCACCAUGAUCUCCAAGUGCAGUACAAGCUCUCUGUAAUCUGUUAACUAAUGCUAUGAGAUUCUCCAUUUCAAUCGGAGUCAAAGAUCCGGCGACUUGAUAGUCAACAAGUGUAAGAAGAUGAAGAGAUAUUGGAGAGAAGAAGAAAAGAGGCUUUUCGCAAUUUGUGUGUGUGUGAGAGAGAGCUAAGAUUUUGAAAUUAG
rnacentral:misc_RNA from 1 species